rnacentral:rRNA from 1 species
CAGUAGGAUAGGCGAAGCGUGCGAUUGGAUUGCACGUCUAAGCAGUAAGGCUGAGUAUUAGGCAAAUCCGGUACUCGUUAAGGCUGAGCUGUGAUGGGGAGAAGACAUUGUGUCUUCGAGUCGUUGAUUUCACACUGCCGAGAAAAGCCUCUAGAUAGAAAAUAGGUGCCCGUACCGCAAACCGACACAGGUAGUCAAGAUGAGAAUUCUAAGGUGAGCGAGCGAACUCUCGUUAAGGAACUCGGCAAAAUGACCCCGUAACUUCGGGAGAAGGGGUGCUCUUUAGGGUUAACGCCCAGAAGAGCCGCAGUGAAUAGGCCCAAGCGACUGUUUAUCAAAAACACAGGUCUCUGCUAAACCGUAAGGUGAUGUAUAGGGGCUGACGCCUGCCCGGUGCUGGAAGGUUAAGAGGAGUGGUUAGCUUCUGCGAAGCUACGAAUCGAAGCCCCAGUAAACGGCGGCCGUAACUAUAACGGUCCUAAGGUAGCGAAAUUCCUUGUCGGGUAAGUUCCGACCCGCACGAAAGGCGUAACGAUUUGGGCACUGUCUCAACGAGAGACUCGGUGAAAUCAUAGUACCUGUGAAGAUGCAGGUUACCCGCGACAGGACGGAAAGACCCCGUGGAGCUUUACUGUAGCCUGAUAUUGAAAUUCGGCACAGCUUGUACAGGAUAGGUAGGAGCCUUUGAAACGUG